rnacentral:rRNA from 1 species
UACAGGGGGUGCAAACGUUGCUCGGAAUUAUUGGGCGUAAAACGCGCGUAGGCGGCCUGCUAAGUCGAACGUGAAAUCCCUGGGCUCAACCCAGGAACUGCGUCCGAUACUGGUUGGCUUGAAUCCGGGAGAGGGAUGUGGAAUUCCAGGUGUAGCGGUGAAAUGCGUAGAUAUCGUCAAGAACACCGAUAGUGUAGACAGCUUACUAGGCUACAACUGACGCUGAGGCACGAAAGUGUGGGGAUCAAACAGG